UUGAGAGAACUCGGGUGAAGGAACUAGGCAAAAUGGUGCCGUAACUUCGGGAGAAGGCACGCUGAUAUGUAGGUGAAGCCCCUGCGGGCGGAGCUGAAAUCAGUCGAAGAUACCAGCUGGCUGCAACUGUUUAUUAAAAACACAGCACUGUGCAAA
rnacentral:rRNA from 1 species